GACGAACGCUGGCGGCGUGCUUAACACAUGCAAGUCGAACGGAAAGGCCCUGCUUUUGUGGGGUGCUCGAGUGGCGAACGGGUGAGUAACACGUGAGUAACCUGCCCUUGACUUUGGGAUAACUUCAGGAAACUGGGGCUAAUACCGUAUAGGAGCUCCUGCUGCAUGGUGGGGGUUGGAAAGUUUCGGCGGUUGGGGAUGGACUCGCGGCUUAUCAGCUUGUUGGUUGGGUAGUGGCUUACCAAGGGUUUGACGGGUAGCCGGCCUGAGAGGGUGACCGGGCACAUUGGGACUGAGAUACGGACCAGACUCCUACGGGAGGCAGCAGUGGGGAAUAUUGCACAAUGGGCGGAAGCCUGAUGCAGAAACGCCGCGUGCGGGAAGACGGCCUUCGGGUUGUAAACCGCUUUCGCCUGUGACGAAGCGUGAGUGACGGUAAUGGGUAAAGAAGCACCGGCUAACUACGUG
rnacentral:rRNA from 1 species